AGGAUUGUCUUCAGGAUACGGUCCAUAUAUGUUUGAAAAUCCUUAGUAAGAUUGCUGUGAACUGUGGAAACUAUCACAGGAAAUUUAUCAUCAGGCGCCGAAUUAGAUAAGGAUUAAACAGAGGUCCUGCCCCUCCCAGACAUCAAUGAUCUCAAAGCUCUUCUCACAUAAGUUCAGUGAGGUGAGUGUGAGAUGCAGAACAGCUCCUUCAUUCCACACUGGACCAAGUCCCUUCUUCAAGGUGCAUGAAGUGACUACAAUGUCAUUGAUACAAUAGCC